rnacentral:tRNA from 1 species
UCCUUCAUAGCUCCGUUGGCAAAGAAUCUGCCUGCAAUGCAGGAGACCCAGGUUCGAUUCCUGGGUCAGGAA